rnacentral:rRNA from 1 species
GAUGAACGCUAGCUACAGGCUUAACACAUGCAAGUCGAGGGGCAGCGGUAUCGAAAGCUUGCUUUCGGUAGCCGGCGACCGGCGCACGGGUGAGUAACGCGUAUCGAACCUGCCUCAUACUCGGGAAUAGCCUUGCGAAAGUAAGAUUAAUUCCCGGUGUUUUCAGAGUCCCGCAUGAGGCUUUGAACAAAUUUUUAUCGGUAUUAGAUGGCGAGGCGUCCCAUUAGCUUGUUGGCGGGGUAACGGCCAACCAAGGCAUCGAUGGGUAGGGGUUCUGAGAGGAAGGCACCCCAGAUUGGAAAUGAGACACGGUCCAAAAUCGUACGGGAGGCAGGAGUGAGGAACAUUAGUCAAGGGGGGGAAGCCGGAAACAGCCAAGUAGGGUGCAGGAAGACGGCCAUCCGGGUUGUAAACUGCUUUUAGUUGGGAAUAAAACGGGGCUCGUGAGCCCCCUUGAAUGUACCAUCAGAAAAAGGACCGGCUAAUUCCGUG